rnacentral:lncRNA from 1 species
CUGGGAUUUAUUUCAAGGCAUCUAUUAAUAGACUGCAAUGCCAAGAACUGUGAUCUUUGCCCUGGAUGGCAAGAGACUUCUGAGCAGAAUGACAGAGACCCAUGGGGCCACAAACUAUAGUCAUGAAAAAUAUAAUUCUGAACCAACUGCCUGGAUUUGAAUUUCAAUGUGGCCUUUGGCAGCAGCUGCCUGUGUAGAGAUCAGCGAAGCAGACAAGCUUGAAUUAUGUGGGGGAGAAAGACAAUGAAAAGACAAGAAAGCAAAUGGAAGAUUUUGAAUAGUGGGGCAUCUGGCAGAUGCUGGUGGUGGGAGGAUGACAAAUCUUUGCUGCUGAGCUCAUUUUUCUUCUGUCCUGGAUGAUUUCAUGGUGCAGAGCUCUAUGGAAGCAAGAGAUGCAGC